rnacentral:sRNA from 2 species
GUAACAAGGUUUCCGUAGGUGAACCUGCGGAAGGAUCAUUGUCGAAACCUGCAUAGCAGAGCAACAUGCGAACUUGUCUUUUCAACCUUCCUUUUUCCGUGUGGCGGGUCAGACGACUCGUGCUUCCUCCGCCUUGCGGGAUGAACAACUUUCGGCGCGGGUUGCGCCAAGGACCAUGAACGUUAGGCCUCGCCUCUUUGCGCCGUUAGGCUGCGUUGAGGAGUCCCAUCAUUGAAAAAUAUCAAUUUAAUGACUCUUGACAAAGGAUAUCUCGGCUCUCGCAUCGAUGAAGAACGUAGCGAAAUGCGAUACUUGGUGUGAAUUGCAGAAUCCUGUGAACCAUUGAGUCUUUGAACGCAAGUUGCGCCCGAAGCCUUUUGGCCAAGGGCACGUCUGCCUGGGCGUCACGCAUAGCGUCGCCCCUACCUCCCAACUCGUGUUUGGAUGUGUGUGGGGCGGAGAGUGGCCUCCCGUGUGCCUUGCUCACAUGGAUGGCCGAAAUAAGGAGCUUGCGGCGGUGAGCGCCGUGAUGAUUGGUGGUUGGAUGGGCUCUUGCCCUACAAAGCAUCUUGUCAUGAAGUGCCACCCCGUGUUUGGCUCGGAGGACUCGGUCUGGUCGAUGUUAUCCAGAUUUGUGCGCCUUUUAUUGUCCACCAUUGCGACCCCAGGUCAGGCGGGACUACCCGCUGAGUUUAAGCAUAUC